rnacentral:rRNA from 1 species
AUUGAACGCUGGCGGCAGGCUUAACACAUGCAAGUCGAGCGGUAACAGAGAGAAGCUUGCUUCUCUGCUGACGAGCGGCGGACGGGUGAGUAAUGCCUAGGAAUCUGCCUAGUAGUGGGGGAUAACUUGCCGAAAGGUAAGCUAAUACCGCAUACGUCCUACGGGAGAAAGGAGGGGACCUUCGGGCCUUUCGCUAUUAGAUGAGCCUAGGUCGGAUUAGUUAGUUGGUGAGGUAAUGGCUCACCAAGAUCGCGAUCCGUAACUGGUCUGAGAGGAUGAGCAGUCACAAUGGAACUGAGACACGGUCCAGACUCCUACGGGAGGCAGCAGUGGGGAAUAUUGGACAAUGGGGGGAACCCUGAUCCAGCCAUGCCGCGUGUGUGAAGAAGGUCUUAGGAUUGUAAAGCACUUUAAGUUGGGAGGAAGAGCAGUUAACUAAUAUUUGACUGUUUUGACGUUACCGACAGAAUAAGCACCGGCUAACUUCGUGCCAGCAGCCGCCGUAA